UAUGUGAUCGUCUCUCGCAUAUCAAUAAGCGGAGGAAAAGAAACUAACAAGGAUUCCCCUAGUAACGGCGAGUGAAGCGGGAAGAGCUCAAAUUUGAAAUCUUAAAGGGUUUCCCUUUACGAAUUGUAGUUUAAAGAAGUGUUUUCUGUUGAGGUUUUGGUAAAAGUUCUUUGGAAUAGGACAUCAUAGAGGGUGAGAAUCCCGUAUUUGACCUUUACUUUCAACUUUGUGAUACACUUUCAAAGAGUCGGAUUGUUUGGGAAUGCAGUCCGAAAUGGGUGGUAAAUUUCAUCUAAAGCUAAAUAUUGGCGAGAGACCGAUAGCGAACAAGUACCGUGAGGGAAAGAUGAAAAGAACUUUGAAAAGAGAGUUAAACAGUACGUGAAAUUGUCAAAAGGGAAGCGUUUGACACCAGUGUUGUUUUUCUGAAAAUCAAUUAAAGAACUGUUUAUGCUAAGUUGUUUAGACUUUAUCAGCUAAUCUGCUUAGUUUUGAGCUUUUCUUUAAUGCACUUUUCAGUUAACAAGUCAACAUCAAUUUCUUUUGCUGUAAAAAAGCUUGAGGAAGGUGGCUUGAGAUUCGUCUUAAGUGUUUAUAGCCUCUUGCCUAUGCAGUCGGAGAGAUUGAGGUCUGCAGCGUAGAUCCUUCGGGGCUAAAUGCAUUUGUGCUAAGUUAUAGCAUUUUAUAGACAACUUGUUGACUAUGAUUUGUCUUGUAGCUUACUCGCUUAUGUUAUUUUACCUACGCUUAGGAUGUUGAUCUACAGAGCGAGAGU
rnacentral:rRNA from 1 species